rnacentral:rRNA from 1 species
ACUCAAAUGAAUAGACGGGGGCCCGCACAAGCAGUGGAGCAUGUGGUUUAAUUCGAUGCAACGCGAAGAACCUUACCUAGGCUUGAAACGCAUAUUAAAUUCAGUGAAAGCUGUUGUCCCGCAAGGGGAAUAUGUACAGGUGCUGCAUGGCUGUCGUCAGCUCGUGCCGUGAGGUGUUGGGUUAAGUCCCGCAACGAGCGCAACCCUCGUCCUUAGUUGCCAUCAAGUAAUGUUGGGCACUCUAAGGAGACUGCCUACGCAAGUAGUGAGGAAGGUGGGGAUGAUGUCAAGUCCGCAUGGCCCUUACGCCUAGGGCCACACACGUGCUACAAUGGCCAUCACAAAGGGUCGCAAUACCGCAAGGUGGAGCCAAUCCCUAAAAAAUGGUCUCAGUUCGGAUUGGAGUCUGCAACUCGACUCCAUGAAGCUGGAAUUGCUAGUAAUCGCUGAUCAGAACGCAGCGGUGAAUACGUUCCCGGGCCUUGUACACACCGCCCGU